rnacentral:rRNA from 1 species
UACAGAGGUCUCAAGCGUUGUUCGGAUUCAUUGGGCGUAAAGGGUGCGUAGGUGGCAUGGUAAGUCGGAUGUGAAAUCCCGGGGCUCAACCCCGGAACUGCAUUCGAUACUGCUGCGCUAGAGUACUGGAGAGGAGAUUGGAAUUUACGGUGUAGCAGUGAAAUGCGUAGAUAUCGUAAGGAAGACCAGUGGCGAAGGCGGAUCUCUGGACAGUUACUGACACCGAGGCACGAAGGCCAGGGGAGCAAACGGG